UACGAAGGGGGCGAGCGUUGUUCGGAUUUACUGGGCGUAAAGGGCGCGCAGGCGGCUCAUUUUGUCAGGCGUGAAAGCCCGGGGCUCAACUCCGAACUGCCUUUAAGACUGCAUCGCUUGAAUCCAGGAGAGGUGAGUGGAAUUCCGAGUGUAGAGGUGAAAUUCGUAGAUAUUCGGAAGAACACCAGUGGCGAAGGCGGCUCACUGGACUGGUAUUGACGCUGAGGUGCGAAAGCGUGGGAGCAACAG
rnacentral:rRNA from 1 species